UGGGAAAAGGUGUUUCUUCUAGGGAAUG
rnacentral:piRNA from 1 species